GGGGAUAAGCUUCAUAGUCGAGAGGGAAACAGCCCAGAUCGCCGGUUAAGGCCCCUAAGGGUGUGCUAAGUGGAAAAGGAUGUGGGAUCGCGAAGACAGCCAGGAGGUUGGCUUAGAAGCAGCCAUCCUUGAAAGAGUGCGUAAUAGCUCACUGGUCGAGUGGUUCUGCGCCGACAAUGUAGUGGGGCUCAAGCACACCGCCGAAGCCGCGGCAAUAAUAUUUUGUUAUUGGGUAGGGGAGCGUCGUGCAUGUGUUGAAGCGUUACCGUGAGGAGGCGUGGAGUGUGUGCGAGUGAGAAUGCAGGCAUGAGUAACGAAUUGGAAGGUGAGAAUCCUUCCCGCCGGAUGACUAAGGGUUCCUGGGUCAAGUUCGUCUUCCCAGGGUGAGUCGGGACCUAAGGCGAGGCCGACAGGCGUAGUCGAUGGAUAACCAGUUGAUAUUCUGGUACCCGAGUAUAUGCGCCCCUGAUAAAGCACUGAUAC
rnacentral:rRNA from 1 species